CGACCCCAGGUUAGGCGGGACUACCCGUUGAAUUUGAGCAUAUCAAUAAGCGGAGGAAAAGAAACUUAUAAGGAUUCUCCUAGUAACGGCGAGCGAACAGGGAACAGCCUAGCCUUAGAGUCGAGAGGCUCCAUCGUCCGAAUUAUAGUCUGGAGAAGCAUCCUCAACGGCGGACUAGGCCCAAGUCCCCUGGAAGGGGGCGCGAAAUAGGGUGAGAGCCCUAUUGUGGCAGGACCCUGUCGCGCUACGAGGUGCUGUCUAUGAGUCAGGUUGUUUGAGAAUGCAGCCCAAAUCAGGUGGUGAAUUCCGUCCCAGGCUAAAUACAGGCGAGAGACCGAUAGAAAACAAGUAUCGCGAGGGAAAGAUGAAAAGGACUUUGAAAAGAGAGUCAAAGAGUGCUUGAAAUUAUCGGGAGGGAAGCGGAUUAGGGCCAGCGAUGCGCCCCGGUCGGAAGUGGAAUGGUGUUAAGCCGGCCUCCCGAUCAACUCGGGGCAUGGAUCAGUGUGGAUUGGGGGGAGGCUAAAGCCCGGGCUUUUGAUACGCUCGUGGAACGUCGUCUCCUUGAUUGUGGAAGGCAGCGUUCACCUCUAGCAUGCUUCGGCAUAUGCGCGCUCCGAACACUGGUCUGUGGGCUCCCUAUUUGACCCGUCUUGAAACAUGGACAAGGGAGUUUAACAUGUGUGCGAGUCAACAGGCGAGUAAACCCAUAAGGCGUAAGGAAUUUGAUUAGUGGGAUCCCCCUGAGCGGUGCACCACUGACCGACCUUGAUCUUUUGUGAAGGGUUUGAGUGUUAGCAUACCUGUAGGGACCCAAAAGAUGGUGAAUUACGCCUGAGCAGGGCAAAGCCAGAGGAAACUCUGGUGGAGGCCCACAGCGAUACUGACGUGCAAAUCGUCCGUCUAACUUAGGUAUAGGGGCAAAAGACUAAUUGAACUGUCUAGUAGCUGGUUCCCUCCUAAGUUUCCCUUAGGAUAGCUGGAGCUCACGUGCGAGUUGUAUCGGGUAAAGCCAAUGAUUUGAGGCAUCAGGGCUGCAAUGCCCUCGACCUAUUCUAAAACUUUAAAUAGGUAGGAUGGUGCGACUGCUUUAUUGAGCCGCGCCAUGGAAUCAAGAGUUCCAAGUGGGCCAUUUUUUGUAAGUAGAACAGGCGAUGUGGGAUGAAUCGGAAUUUNUGCCAAACUGCGCGCUAACCUAGAUCCCACAAAGGGUGUUGGUCGAUUAAGACAGCAGGACGGUGGUCAUGGAAGUCGAAAUCCGCUAAAGAGUGUGUAACAACUCACUUGCCAAAUCAACUAGCCCCGAAAAUGGAUGGCGCUUAAGCACGUGACCUACACCCGACUGUCGGGGCAAGUGCUAGGCCUCGAUGAGUAGGAGGGCGCAACUAUCGCUACAAAACCUUGGGCAGAGCGGCUAUCGAUGCAGAUCUUGGUGGUAGUAGCAAAUAUUCAAAUGAGAACUUUGAAGGACGAAUAAGGGAAAGGUCCUAUGUGAACGGCACUUGCACAUGGGUUAGUCAAUCCUAAGGGUCGGGGAAACCCCGAUAGAUAGAGCAUUUCACGUGUACUCUGAAAGGGAAUCAGGUUAAAAUUCCUGAACCGGGAUGUGGCGGUUGACAGCAACGUUAGGAAGUCCGGAUUUGUCAGCGGGGUCCUCGAGAAGAGUUAUUUUUCUGUUUAACAACUUGCCCACCCUGGAAACAACUUAGUCGAAGGUAGGGUCCAGUAGCUGGAAGAUGACCGCACGUCGCGUGGUGUCCGGUGCGCCCCCAACGGCCUUUGAAAAUCUGAAGGACCGAGUGUCGUCCAUGCCCGGUCGUACUCAUAACCGCAUCAGGUUUCCAAGGUGAACAACCUCUGGUCGAUGGAACAAUGUAGGCAAGGGAAGUCGGCAAAAUAGAUUUGUAACUUCGGGAAAAGGAUUGGCUCUGAAGGCUGGGCAUGCGGGUCCCAGUCCCGCACCUGUGGGUUGUCGGUGGACUGCUCGAGCUGCUCCCACAGUGAUAGCGGGUCACCGCAUGCCAGCUGGGCGAUGUACUGGGACCGGUUCAUUCGGGGGCCUUUCCCGGGCAUCGAACAACCAACUCAGAACUGGUACGGACAAGGGAAAUCCGACUGUUUAAUUAAAACAAAGCAUUGCAAUGGUCCCUAUAGAUAUUUACGUAAUGUGAUUUCUGCCCAGUGCUCUAAAUAUCAAAAUGAAGAAAUUCAACUAAGCACGGGUAAAUGGCGGAAGUAACUAUGACUCUCUUAAGGUAGCCAAAUGCCUCGUCAUCUAAUUAGUGGCGCGCAUGAAUGGAUUAAUGAGAUUCCCACUGUCUAUGUCUACUAUCCAGCGAAACCACAGCCAAGGGAACGGGUUUGGCAGAAUCAGUGGGGAAAGAAGACCCUAUUGAGCUUGACUCUAGUCCGACUUUGUGAAAUGACUUGAGAGGUGUAGUAUAAGUGGGAGCCGAAAGGUAAAAGUGAAAUACCACUACUUUUAACGUUAUUUUACUUAUUUCGUGAAUCGGAAGCGGGGCACUGCCCCUUUUUUUGGACCCAAGGCUUGCUUGAAGGCCGAUCCGGGCUGAAGACAUUGUCAGUUGGGGAGUUUGGCUAGGGCAGCACAUAUAUUAAAAGACAACGCAGGUGUCCUAAGAUGAGCUCAACGAGAACAGAAAGCUCGUGUGGAAUAGAAGGGUAAAAGCUCAUUUGAUUCUAAUUUCCAGUACGAAUACGAAUCGUGAAAGUGUGGACUAACGAUCCUUUGGACCUUCGAAAUUCAAAGCUAGAGGUGUCAGAAAAGUUACCACAUAGAUAACUAGCUUGUGGCAUCCAAGUGUUCAUAGCGACGUUGCUUUUUGAUCCUUCGAUGUUGGAUCUUCCUAUCAUUGUGAAGUAGAAUUCACCAAAUAUUGGAUUGUUCACCCACCAAUAGGGAAUGUGAGCUGGGUUUAGAUCGUCGUGAGAUUACUUUUACCCUACUGAUGACAGUGUCACAAUAUUAAUUCAACCUAGUACGAGAGGAACAAUUGAUUCGCACAAUUAGUCAUCGCACUUGGUUGAAAAGCUAGUUGCGUGAAGCUACCGUGCCCUGUAUUAUGACUGAACGCCUCUAAGUCAAAAUCCGGGCUAGAAGAGACUCAUGCGCUCACCGUCCGCUUGCCGACCCGUAGUAGGGGCCUUUGGUCCCUAAGGGCACAUGUCGUUGGCUAAGUCAUCACGGCGAAAGAGCCGCGGUGGCCGCCUUGAAGUAUAAUUUCCAUCGAUUGGUGGGUAGAAUCCUUUGCAGACGACUUAAAUAUGCGACGGGGUAUUGUAUGUGGCAGAGUAGCCUUGCUACUACAAUCCACUAAGAUUCAGCCCUUUGUUGCUCCGAUUCGU
rfam:Nicotiana sylvestris Nsyl_contig203398, whole genome shotgun sequence.